UUUAAUGGCUAUAUGAGGNUACUAAAAUUGGAAUGAUAGAAGAUUAGCAUAACUCCUGCACGAGCAUGACACACAAAUCUGUGAAGCAUUCCAUAUUUAA
rnacentral:snRNA from 1 species